rnacentral:sRNA from 1 species
GCUGAGUGUGGUGGUGCAUGCCUGUAAUCCCAGCAAUUUGGGAGGCUGAGACAGGAGGAUUGCAAGUUUGAGACCAGUCUCGGCAACUAGCAAGACCCUGUCUCAA